rnacentral:rRNA from 1 species
GUGGGUAACCUGCCUUAUAGUGGGGGAUAGCCUUUCGAAAGGAAGAUUAAUACCGCAUAAGAUUGUAGUAUCGCAUGAUAUAGCAAUUAAAGGAGCAAUUCGCUAUAAGAUGGACCCGCGUCGCAUUAGCUAGUUGGUGAGGUAAUGGCUCACCAAGGCGACGAUGCGUAGCCGACCUGAGAGGAUGACCAGCCACACUGGAACUGAGACACGGUCCAGACUCCUACGGGAGGCAGCAUG